rnacentral:pre_miRNA from 1 species
CAUCUUACCUUACAGCAUUAGAUCUGUUUUAAAAUCUCUAAUACUGUCAGGUAAAGAUGUC